rnacentral:rRNA from 1 species
AAACCGAUUUCGGUCGGUGGAAAGUGGCGAACGGGUGAGUAACACGUUGGUGACCUGCCCCGCGGUGGGGGAUAACACCUCGAAAGAGGAGCUAAUACCCCGGAUGUCGUUCUUUUGGAGAAGGACGGACUAAAGGAGAAAUCCGCCACGGGAGGGGCCUGCGGGCUAUCAGCUAGUUGGUGGGGUAAAGGCUCACCAAGGCGAAGACGGCUAGGGGGCGUGAGAGCGUGGCCCCCCACAAUGGAACUGAGACACGGUCCAUACUCCUACGGGAGGCAGCAGUGAGGAAUAUUGCCCAAUGGGGGAAACCCUGAGGCAGCAACGCCGCGUGGACGAUGACGGCCUUCGGGUUGUAAAGUCCUUUUCUGGGGGAAGAUGAUGACGGUACCCCAGGAAUAAGUCCCGGCUAACUACGUGCCAGCAGCCGCGGUAAAACGUAGGGGGCGAGCGUUAUCCGGAUUUACUGGGCGUAAAGCGCCCGCAGGCGGCGGGUCAAGUUGGACGUGAAAGCUCCCAGCUUAACUGGGAGAGGUCGUACAAAACUGACCGGCUAGAGGCUGAGAGAGGAGAGCAGAAUUCCCGGUGUAGUGGUGGAAUGCGUAGAUAUCGGGAGGAAUACC